rnacentral:tRNA from 1 species
AGUGUUACGCCGGAUGAACGGAAGUCAUUGAUGUUGAUUAAUAUGAGAUUAUAUUAUCUCCGGCACUA